rnacentral:tRNA from 1 species
UAAGUGUAAAAAAGACUUCUAAUCUUUAAAUAGCACCUUGCUACACUUAA